rnacentral:tRNA from 1 species
UGGGGUAUAGCUCAGGAGUAUAGCAUGUGCUUAGCAUGCCUGAGGUCCUGGGUUCAAUCCCCAGUACCUCCA